rnacentral:tRNA from 1 species
GUUAGCGUGGCAGAGCCCGGAAAUGCAAAAGACCUAAGUCCUUUCGACAGAGGUUCAACUCCUCUCCCUAACU